GGAUUGCAGGCAAAAUGGCCGAAUAGGAGCAGCUCCAGUCUACAGCUCCCAGGGAGAUUAAUGCAAAAGAGAUGGAGUCUCGACACGUUGCCCAAGCUGUUCUCAAACUCCAGGGCUUGAACAAUCUUCCCACCUUGGCCUCCCAAGGCACUGGAAUUACAGAGACAGUGCUCUGCAGGGAGUCUACCACUGUGAUGGUUAAUACUGAGUGUCAACUUGAUUGGAUUGAAGGAUGCAAAGUAUUGUUCCUGGGUGUGUCUGUGAGGGUGUUGCCAAAGGAGAUUAACAUUUGAGUCAGUGGGCUGGGAAAGGUAGACCCAGCCGUAAUCUAGGUGGGCACCAUCUAAUCAGCUGCCAGCACAGCUAGAAGAUAAAGUAGGCAGAAAAACAUGAAAACAUUAGACUGGCCUAGCCUCUGAGCCUACAUCUUUCUCCCAUGCUGGAUGCUCCCUGCCCUUGAACAUCAGACUCCAAGUUUUUCAGUUUUGGGACUGGGACUCACUAUCCUUGCUCCUCAGCUUGCAGACAGCCUAUUGUGGGACCUUAUGAUCAUGCAUUCUGCUGGACCAACAAACAACAGUGUAUUUUUUCAUCCCCCUGCUGUUUGACAAUAAGAUUUUCUUAGCCUUGUAACAAUUAACAACUCAAAAAUAUACAUCUUUGUAUAUGUCUCCUUGAACAAGAGUUUCUCCCUGAGAAGCUCCCAGAAGAAGAACUGUUGGGCUAUGGAGAAUAUGCAUUGUCAACCUUACUUGGUAGUUCCAACAUAGCUUUCCAAAGUGUUUAUACUUAUUUUCCGUCCCUGCAACCACGCCUUGGAGUUCUUGUUUUGUUUGCAUUAUCACCAACAGUGAAUAUUAUCAAACUUAAUAAAUUUGUAAAUAUAAAA
rnacentral:lncRNA from 1 species